rnacentral:rRNA from 1 species
UACGGGGGGGGCAAGCGUUGUUCGGAAUUACUGGGCGUAAGGGGCUCGUAGGUGGCCAACUAAGUCAGACGUGAAAUCCCCAGGCUCAACUUGGGAACUGCGUCUGAUACUGGAUGGCUUGAAUUCGGGAGAGGGAUGCAGAAUUCCAGGUGUAGCGGUGAAAUGCGUAGAUAUCUGGAGGAACACCGGUGGCGAAGGCGGCAUCCUGGACCAACACUGACGCUGAGUGAGCGAAAGCCAGGGGAGCAAACGGG